rnacentral:rRNA from 1 species
UAGGGAAUAUUGCGCAAUGGACGAAAGUCUGACGCAGCGACACCGUGUGAAGGAUGAAGGUCCUCGGAUUGUAAACUUCUGUCAAUUGGAGACGAAGAUACUUAGGGUUAAUAGCCUUAAGUAUUGACGGUACCCAAUAAGGAAGUCUCGGCUUACUCCGUGCCAGCAGCCGCGGUAAGACGGGGGAGGCAAGCGUUGUCCGGAAUUAUUGGGCGUAAAGAGCGCGUAGGUGGUUUAUCAAGUCAUUUGUGAAAACUUUAGGCUUAACUUAAAGAUUGCAAGUGAUACUGGUAUACUUGAGCACAGCAGAGGAAAGUGGAAUUCCUGGUGUAGCGGUGAAAUGCGCAGAUAUCAGGAAGAACACCAGUGGCGAAGGCGGCUUUCUGGGCUGUUGCUGACACUGAGGCGCGAAAGCUAGGGGAGCGAACA